ACUUGCUGUACAUUCAGCUCAAUACCCUCUAGUACUUUCAUUGUCCAGUGGACCAUAUAAAUAUGCAGUCACUACAUCAGUUUGCUGCAAGUCUAAUUUUCUCUCUUAUAUAGCUAGACUUAUAAGAAAUUUUAAAAGUAGUUGCAUCCACCACAUGGGAGUAUAUCUCCUCAUAAUCUAUUACUGGUCUUUGUGAGAAUCCUUAUGCAAUAUUAGCUUUAUAUCUCACGAUUUCUAUUCCUCAUAAGACCCAUUUAUAUCCACUGGUUUUAACAUCAUAUGGCGUCUUAAUCAUAUGGCCAAAUAUGCCUUUCUUCUUUAAAUUAUUUAACCCCACGUUUUUAUUCAAUCUGUUCUACGAGUGCGCACUCUUAUAUUGACGUGAGUUCAUGAUCCUCGCUUAUAUUCAUA
rnacentral:lncRNA from 1 species